AAACUUACCUGGCUGGGAGCUUUCGUAAUCAAUUUGCAGGACCUCCAUGGUGAGGCCGUUGCAUACCACUUUAACAACAGCUGACCCGUGUUGCAAGUUCAAGAUGAAGUUAGCCAACAGCUAGAUUUUUGCAC
rnacentral:snRNA from 15 species